UCAGUUGAGUGUUGAAGCUGCGCUCCCUUGAGGCGGGGUGGCGGCGCGGGCUGGGGGCCACUGCCCACUCACCGAGCACUUGCCCAGGCGGCUGACCUUGCGGCCGCCCUGGUCCACCGUGUACACGUACACCAAGUUGUCGUGGGAGCCCACGGCCAGGGCCACCAGGUCAUGGGUCUCCGUGUCCAGCAGCAGCCAUCUUGAAGGAGAGGGCCACGCCCCUCAAUAUUGACUCCGCCCUCCCAGACCUUCCACUGUUACCGUGCCACCUCAAGAUUGGUCCCUCCAAGGCUCUGGCACCGUCCCCGCUUUUGAACUAGCUGGCCCCACUCUAGGUGCUGCUGGAGGAUGUGGUCCGGCUGCGGGGGUCCUCACGGCGCACCGAGGCGAGGCGCUCUGGUGACAAGUAGCGGCGGACACUGCUAAAAGAGAGCACACAGGUGGGGGCAGAGCCUUCUAGGCCAGCAGGCGAGUGCCGUGAGCAAGCG
rnacentral:lncRNA from 1 species